GACGAACGCUGGCGGCGUGCUUAACACAUGCGAGUCGAACGGAAAGGCCCUGCUUUUGUGGGGUGCUCGAGUGGCGAACGGGUGAGUAACACGUGAGUAACCUGCCCUUGACUUUGGGAUAACUUCAGGAAACUGGGGCUAAUACCGGAUAGGAGCUCCUGCUGCAUGGUGGGGGUUGGAAAGUUUCGGCGGUUGGGGAUGGACACGCGGCUUAUCAGCUUGUUGGUGGGGUAGUGGCUUACCAAGGCUUUGACGGGUAGCCGGCCUGAGAGGGUGACCGGCCACAUUGGGACUGAGAUACGGCCCAGACUCCUACGGGAGGCAGCAGUGGGGAAUAUUGCACAAUGGGCGGAAGCCUGAUGCAGCAACGCCGCGUGCGGGAUGACGGCCUUCGGGUUGUAAACCGCUUUCGCCUGUGACGAAGCGUGAGUGACGGUAAUGGGUAAAGAAGCACCGGCUAACUACGCG
rnacentral:rRNA from 1 species